AACGAACGCUGGCGGCAUGCCUAACACAUGCAAGUCGAACGAACCCUUCGGGGUUAGUGGCGCACGGGUGCGUAACGCGUGGGAAUCUGCCCUUUGCUUCGGAAUAACAGUUAGAAAUGACUGCUAAUACCGGAUGAUGUCUUCGGACCAAAGAUUUAUCGGCAAGGGAUGAGCCCGCGUAGGAUUAGGUAGUUGGUGGGGUAAAGGCCUACCAAGCCGACGAUCCUUAGCUGGUCUGUGAGGAUGAUCAGCCACACUGGGACUGAGACACGGCCCAGACUCCUACGGGAGGCAGCAGUGGGGAAUAUUGGACAAUGGGCGCAAGCCUGGUCCAGCAAUGCCGCGUGAGUGAUGAAGGCCUUCGGGUCGUAAAGCUCUUUUACCAGGGAUGAUAAUGACAGUACCUGGAGAAUAAGCUCCGGCUAACUCCGUGCCAGCCGCCGCCGUAACAC
rnacentral:rRNA from 1 species